rnacentral:rRNA from 1 species
GAUGAACGCUGGCGGCGUGCCUAAUACAUGCAAGUCGAGCGAACAGACGAGGAGCUUGUUCCUUUGACGUUAGCGGCGGACGGGUGAGUAACACGUGGAUACCCUCCCUAUAAGACUGGGAUAACUUCGGAAAACCGGAGCUAAUACCGGAUGAUAUAUUGAACCGCAUGGUUCAAUAGUGAAAGACGGUUUUGCGGUCACUUAUAGAUGGAUCCGCGCCGCAGUAGAUAGUUGUUAAGGUAACGGCCUAUCAAGGCAACGAUGCGUAGCCCACCUCAGAGGGUGCUAGCCCACAUGGGAACUGAGGCAGCGUCCGGGGACCUGAGGUAGGGCACAGUCGGGUACGCGCCGCAAUAGGCGAGAGUCUGACAGAACAAACACGCGUGUGAUGUGAAAGUCUUCCGUGCGGAAAGCUCUAUUAUGAGUGAAGAACAAAUGUGGAAGUAACUAUGCACGUCUUGACGGUACCUGAUAAGAAAGCCACGGCUAACUACGUG